AUUGAACGCUGGCGGCAGGCCUAACACAUGCAAGUCGAGCGAGCGGCGGACGGGUGAGAAAUGUCUGGGAAACUGCCUGAUGGAGGGGGAUAACUACUGGAAACGGUAGCGAAUAUCGAAAACCAUCAGAUGUGCCCAGAUGGGAUUAGCUAGUAGGUGGGGGAACGGCCAACCUAGGCGACGAUCCCAAGCUGGUCUGAGAGGAUGACCAGCAACACGUGAACUGAGACACGGUCCAGACUCCGACGGGAGGCAGCAGUGGGGAAUAUUGCACAAUGGGUGCAAGCCUGAUGCAGCCAUGCCGCGUGUUUGAAGAAGGCCUUCGGUUUGUAAAGCACUUUCAGCGGGGAGGCGUUACCCGCAGAAUAAGCACCGGCUAACUCCGUGCCAGCAGCCGCGGUAAUAC
rnacentral:rRNA from 1 species